CCCUUAGAUGUCCUGGGCCGCACGCGCGCUACACUGACAUGUUCAACAAGCCUCCUAGUUCGACAGGAUUUGGGAAAUCUUUGAACGCAUGUCGUGAUAGGGAUAGAUCAUUGCAAUUAUUGAUCUUGAACGAGGAAUUCCUAGUAAACGCGAGUCAUCAGCUCGCAUUGAUUACAUCCCUGCCCUUUGUACACACCGCCCGUCGCACCUACCGAUUGAAUGUUUCGGUGAAGAUUCCGGAUAGGACUUUUUUGAUUUAUUUCAAUUUUGUCUUAAAAGCUAUCUAAACCUCAACAUUUAGAGGAAGGUGAAGUCGUAACA
rnacentral:rRNA from 1 species